rnacentral:rRNA from 1 species
GUUAUAUGGUCAAGAAGAGAAGCGCAAACGGUGGAUGCCUUGGCAGUAAGAGGCGAAGAAGGACGUGGAAUCCUGCGAAAAGCUAUGGGGAGCUGGAAACGAGCGUUGAGCCAUAGAUGUCCGAAUGGGGGAACCCGGCUGCAGCGAUGCGGUCAUUUGCAUUUGAAUACAUAGGAUGCAAAGGCGAACUCGGGGAACUGAAACAUCUAAGUACCCGAAGGAAAAGAAAUCAAUAGAGAUUCUCCAAGUAGCGGCGAGCGAACGGGGAGGAGCCUGGCGUGAUUUAUUAUUGAAUUGAGUAGAACAACUUGGGAAGGUUGGCCAUAGAGGGUGAAAGCCCCGUAUACGAAGGUUUGAUGAGGAACUAGGCACGCGAGCAAGUAGGCCGGGACACGUGAAAUCCUGGUUGAAGAUGGGUGGACCAUCAUCCAAGGCUAAAUACUACUUACUGACCGAUAGUGAACCAGUACCGUGAGGGAAAGGUGAAAAGAACCCCGGAGAGGGGAGUGAAAUAGAAUCUGAAACCGUUUGCGUACAAGCAGUGGGAGCAUGGUUUAGGCUGUGUGACUGCGUACCUUUUGUAUAAUGGGUCAGCGAGUUACUUUCAGUGGCGAGGUUAACUGCAUAAGGGAGCCGUAGAGAAAUCGAGUCUGAAUAGGGCGAUAGUCGCUGGGAGUAGACCCGAAACCGGGCGAUCUAGCCAUGUGCAGGAUGAAGGUUGGGUAACACCAACUGGAGGUCCGAACCGGGUAAUGUUGAAAAAUUAUCGGAUGACGUGUGGCUAGGAGUGAAAGGCUAAUCAAGCCCGGAGAUAGCUGGUUCUCCCCGAAAGCUAUUUAGGUAGCGCCUCGUGAAUGAUUACUGGGGGUAGAGCACUGUUUCGGCUAGGGGGCUGUCAUGGCUUACCAAACCGAUGCAAACUCCGAAUACCGGCUAAUUGGAUCACGGGAGACACACGGCGGGUGCUAACGUCCGUCGUGGAGAGGGAAACAACCCAGACCGCCAGCUAAGGUCCCCAAGUACUAGUUAAGUGGGAAACGAUGUGGGAAGGCAUAGACAGCCAGGAGGUUGGCUUAGAAGCAGCCACCCUUUAAAGAAAGCGUAAUAGCUCACUGGUCGAGUCGGCCUGCGCGGAAGAUGUAACGGGGCUAAAACUAGUCACCGAAGCUGCGGAUGUGCGCGAAGGCGCACGUGGUAGGGGAGCGUUCUGUAGGCUGAUGAAGGUGCAUUGAGAGGUGUGCUGGAGGUAUCAGAAGUGCGAAUGCUGACAUGAGUAACGAUAAUGUGGGUGAAAAGCCCACACGCCGGAAGUCCCAGGUUUCCUGCACGACGUUAAUCGGAGCAGGGUGAGUCGGCCCCUAAGGCGAGGCUGAAGAGCGUAGUCGAUGGGAACCAGGUUAAUAUUCCUGGACUUUUUAUAAGUGGUGAAGUGGGGACGAAGAAGGCUAGGUGAGCCAGGCGUUGGUU